GCCCCUGUAGCUCAGCGGAUAGAGCGCUGGCCUCCGGAGCCAGAUGCGGGAGUUCGAGUCUCCCCAGGGGUACCA
rnacentral:tRNA from 1 species